AAUGAACGCUGGCGGCAUGCCUAACACAUGCAAGUCGAACGAAGCCUUCGGGCUUAGUGGCGCACGGGUGCGUAACGCGUGGGAAUCUGCCCUUGGGUUCGGAAUAACAGUUAGAAAUGACUGCUAAUACCGAAUGAUGUCGUAAGACCAAAGAUUUAUCGCCCAGGGAUGAGCCCGCGUAGGAUUAGCUAGUUGGUGUGGUAAAGGCGCACCAAGGCGACGAUCCUAGCUGGUCUGAGAGGAUGAUCAGCCACACUGGGACUGAGACACGGCCCAGACUCCUACGGGAGGCAGCAGUGGGGAAUAUUGGACAAUGGGCGAAAGCCUGAUCCAGCAAUGCCGCGUGUGUGAAGAAGGCC
rnacentral:rRNA from 1 species